rnacentral:rRNA from 1 species
AGAGAGAGACAUGCGCGCAUAUCAAUAAGCGGAGGAAAAGAAACUAACUAGGAUUCCCUUAGUAACGGCGAGUGAAGCGGGAAGAGCUCAAAUUUGAAAUCUUCAAGGUUUUACCUUGACGAAUUGUAGUUUAAAGAAGUGUUUUCUGCUGGAGUUUUGGUAAAAGUUCUUUGGAAUAGGACAUCAUAGAGGGUGAGAAUCCCGUAUUUGACCAUUAUUUCAGCUUUGUGAUACACUUUCAAAGAGUCGGAUUGUUUGGGAAUGCAGUCCAAAAUGGGUGGUAAAUUUCAUCUAAAGCUAAAUAUUGGCGAGAGACCGAUAGCGAACAAGUACCGUGAGGGAAAGAUGAAAAGAACUUUGAAAAGAGAGUUAAACAGUACGUGAAAUUGUCAAAAGGGAAGCGUUUGACACCAGUGUUGUUUUCUCGAAAAUCAAUUAAAAAUGGCUCGAUUUUGUAUUGUUGAGACCUUAAAAGCUCACUGUACAUUUUUCGUGUCUUUUUUAAUGCACUUUUCGUUUAACAAGUCAACAUCAGUUUCUUUUGUUGUAAAAGGGUCAUUGGAAGGUGGCUUUCUUUUCGGAGAAAGUGUUUAUAGCCUUUGGCCUCUGCAAUCGGAGAGACUGAGGUCUGCAGCGUAGACUCUUCGGGGUUAGAUACAUUUGUGCUAAGUUAGUAGCUUUUUAUAGACAACUUGUUGACUAUAAUUAGUCUUGUAGCUUACUCGCUUAUGCUAUUUUACCUACGCUUAGGAUGUUGAAGUCAUCGUAUCGCGC